rnacentral:tRNA from 1 species
GGCAAGGUAGCUCAGUUGGUUAGAGCACACGGUUCAUACCCGUGAUGUCGAGGGUUCGAUUCCCCCCCUUGCUA